AAGUUUGCAUAAUUUAAAUUUAAAGGCACAGCAGCACACUUUGGAGGGCUGCACUGCCGCCUGUGAGCCAUGGCACCGCUCCAGUCCAGCAGAUUAUGCCCCUCAGCUGGGCAAUGCUACCAGUGUUUAGAGAGGGAAUCCCACAUUCCUUGGCUGCUACAGCAUCAUGCUUGGCUAUGAGCGGUUCAGCCUGGCUACAAAGAGAUGGAGCUCGGCUCCAGCACAAAAGCUGGAGGAGAGAGGAGUCCUGUUCAUUCAUUAUUAAUCAGAUAAUGGCUGAGGAGGGAGAGAACUUUCAGGAUGGAGGUGACACUUGUUCUCAGACACUGAGGGAGAGCAGAUGUGAUCAGAUAGCGAUCCACAGAUAGAUUCUUUCAGAAAAUGAGGAAGAUGAAGAAGAUAGAAAGUAGGUGUCCUCACUGCUCAGUACAAAGGGGAACACAGCGGGAACAUUGCAUUUGUGUUGAGAAUAUCACCAUGUUCUAGUUAGCUCGCUGUUGGAGGCUUCUCCUAACAGGUCCAGGACAGUGGGAGGAUCGCGACCAGGAGGACAGCACUUCCCGGCAGAGACAUUGCAUUGCAGUGAUUCGCAGCUGCCUGCAGAUGACGAUCGGAUUCAGCACCUGAGCGGCGGACAGCUCCGGAACAGACGAGCUUCUGAACGUUAAAGUGAAGCCAUCCGGUGUGUGUGAGGAGAGGAGUGUGUGUGUGAAGCUCCGAGAGACCCUCAGUACCUGCAUCAGCCCGUCUACCUGUCCGCACCGCCACAUUCCCUUCUCCGCUGAAAACAAAAGGGAGCCAUGUGCAAACAGUUAAGGGGGGAAAUAAUCCAAAAAAUCUCACUCACCAGGUCUGUCGCUGCAUCUCCCGGCACGGUUUAUCCAACCUGCCCAUCAUCUGAGGCUGUGGGACUGGCCACGGACACAUGCAAACCACGAAUGGGAAAGAUGCAUGUCAUUCAAACUCCCUGGGUGUGGCGAGUAUCUUGGUCUCAGGAGGCAUGGAAGGGAACUUCUGAAGUGUUUGCUGAUCCUAGAAGGGGCUUUAUUUAAUGUACGGGCCUGCCUUUGCAAAGAGGAUUACAAGUUAAAGGCUUUUGCAGAAAAACAGCAUCAUUUAAAUGAUGAUAAUACAUUUGUUAGGUCAUGUGCUCACAGAUUUCAGUGCAUCUAAGUUUCUCUUUUGAUCUCUGCUGGGAUUAUUGUGGCCGCGACUCCCCGUGAGCGCGCAUAAGCGGCGCGCCCCCGAUGUUCUCCGGCUGGACCGAGCCACAAGUCAAUUUUUCCUCCAGCCGGUUUCUGCCGGUUAGGAAACCCGCUCCUCACCACGUCUGCUUCCAAAUAUAGUCUCUCUUUCUUUCGCUCUCUCUCUCUUGUCGGUGAUGUUCAGCUUCAAGAUGUGAUCUGCAGCUUCCUGGCACUGUGGUGUGAAGAAAACAACAUCAACAGCAUGCACGCACUGUUUUAAACUGAUGAUGACUGCAUUAAAGUCUGUAUGCAGAAUA